AUUGAACGCUGGCGGCAUGCCUUACACAUGCAAGUCGAACGGCAGCGGGGGAGAAGCUUGCUUUUCCUGCCGGCGAGUGGCGAACGGGUGAGUAAUACAUCGGAACGUGCCCUGUAGUGGGGGAUAACUAGUCGAAAGAUUAGCUAAUACCGCAUACGACCUGAGGGUGAAAGUGGGGGACCGCAAGGCCUCAUGCUAUAGGAGCGGCCGAUGUCUGGUUAGCUAGUUGGUGGGGUAAAGGCCUACCAAGGCGACGAUCAGUAGCUGGUCUAAGAGGACGAUCAGCCACACUGGGACUGAGACACGGCCCAGACUCCUACGGGAGGCAGCAGUGGGGAAUUUUGGACAAUGGGCGAAAGCCUGAUCCAGCAAUGCCGCGUGUGUGAAGAAGGCCUUCGGGUUGUAAAGCACUUUUGUCCGGAAAGAAAUGGCUCUGGUUAAUACCUGGGGUCGAUGACGGUACCGGAAGAAUAAGGACCGGCUAACUACGUGCCAGCCGCUGCCGUAA
rnacentral:rRNA from 1 species